ensembl:lncRNA
AGACAAACCUGAUAUAAGAAAAAUUAUACAUUACGGAUUUCCAAAAUCGUUAGAAGCGUACGUACAACAAGUUGGUAGAGCAGGAAGAGAUAACAGUGAUGCUGAAGUUAUUUUAUUUUUUAAUAUAAACGAUGAAGCAAAAAUAAAAAAUUUAUUACUUAGAGAAAAUACAGCUAAUAAUUUAAUUAAUACAAAUUUUGAAAGAGUUGAACAUAUGAUUGAGAUGUUUACUGAUGCAGCUGAUUUUGUUUAUACAACUGGUUGCAGAAGGAAAAAAAUUUAUCAUUACUUUAAUGAAAAACCAGUUAUAACAAUGGACAUAGAUAUAUUUGAUGACCCUUGUAAUGAAGGUAUAUGUUUUUAUGUACAAAAAUAUGAUAUGUAUUUAUGCUCGAAAUGUGACAAUUGCCAAAGCGAUUUGCUUGUUAUUAGAAAACAAAUAGUAUCAUCAUUUAUAGAAGAUAUUAUGGAAAACAGAACAGAUGUAACAAAAGAGUUGAGAGUGCUAUUAAAUUGUAUAAAUUCGUUAAAAGGAAAAACUGGUUCAUCUGUUAUAUGUAAAAUACUUGUUAACAGUAAAGAAUCCAAUAUUAUUAAAAAAGACUAUCACAAAUUAAAAGAAUAUGGAGAAGGUAAAAACAAACCAGUAGCAUGGUGGUCAGCUUUUAUCAAAGUAGCAAGAAAUGAUAAGUUUAUAAAAGAAACAUUAAAUGGUGGUACUGUUUUAAGCUAUUUAAGUAUUGGUAUAACUAAAAAAGGAGAACAGUUUAUUAAUUCAAAUGAAAAAUAUAUAACACGUUUACCAAAAUUUUUAAUUAAUAAUGAUAAAAAUGAACAAAAAAAAAUAAAAACAAAAGCGAAUACAUCUAAAUAUAAAGAUUAUGAUAAUAAUAUUGAUAGUAAUAACAACAAAGUAGGAGGAGAUAAGUAUAAUUUAAAAAACAAAAAAAACAUCUAUUCAAACGACUGGAGUAGUCAGAACAAACCUGAAUUAAAUAAUGAAAAUUUAUAUAGUUUUGAUAGUAGCAGUAGAAAUAAUAAUGAUAAUAAUAAGAAAAAAACUGACGUUUUAUUUGUUAAUGAUGAAAAAAAUCAAUAUGAUAAUUUCUUUGAUGCGUAUAAACAUACUGAAAAGGGAGAGCAUAAAAAAACGGAUGUUACAUUCAAAGGGGUACACACGAAUGAUGAAUAUAAAGACAAAAAUAAUAAAAUUAAUAAAAAUGAUGAUAAAUAUGCUUAUUUUAAUUAUGAUAAAAGUAAAUUAUUAAAUGAACAAGAAGAUAAAGUAACCAAAUUGACAGAUCAGCAAAUAUUUGAUUCAUUAAUGAAGUUAGCAUUAAGAACAAGAAUGUUAGAAGCACGAAAACAAAACAUACCUCCUUUUCAAUUAAUAUCAGAUCAACCAUUAAAAGACAUAUGUAAAAAAAGGUUAACACAAGUACAUAUUAUACGAAAACAUGUAGAUAACAUUUCACCUGUUUGUCCAAAUAGUUUUUUAGAAAAAAUUACAUCAGGCAUCAGAGGAUUUUGUUUAUUACAUGAAUUGCCUACAAACAUAAACAUUCCUAUGGACCGGGAUGGCAAUAGAAAUGGAAGUGGCAAUAGAAAUGGAAGUGGUAAUAUCAAUGGAAGUGGUCAUAUCAAUGGAAGUGGUAAUAUCAAUGGAAGUGGUCAUAUCAAUGGAAGUGGUAAUAUCAAUGGAAGUGGUCAUAUCAAUGGAAGUGGUAAUAUCAAUGGAAGUGGUCAUAUCAAUGGAAGUGGUCAUAUCAAUGGAAGUGGUCAUAUCAAUGGAAGUGGUAAUAUCAAUGGAAGUGGCACUAUAGCUACUAUGCAUAACGACUCGAAGAGUGAAAGCCUUAAAACAUUUUCUUCUUUUAUAUCAAGCUUUAAUUAUGACAAGAAUAAAGGAGUAGAGGGUGUACAAGAAAAUGUAGCCAUGAAUAAAGUUCCCAAUAGUGGUAGUGCGUACGCAACUACCACUAAUAACAAAUAUGAACAGGUGUAUAAUAAAAAUAGUAAUUAUUUUAGAAGCGCGGACUACAUACAUAAUGUAAACAGAGUGAUUAACGCUAACAACAAACAUGACAACCUUAAUGUAAUAAAUACAAGUGACAAUAAAACGAAUGACACAUUAAAUGAGUUUACCUAUCAAACUGAUGAACAACUUAAGCGUACAAAUUUAAAACAAAUUGUUAAAAAUAAUUUUAGCAAUGGAAUAUAUGAUGAACUUAAAUUUAUUAACAAUACAGAAACGAGUUCGCACAAUGACAAAUUACGUACGAACAAUGAUAUUUUUAGUAGUCAUAUGUAUGCACCAGGAGGUAAUGUACAAGUGCAACCUCAAACAAAUGUAUCGACAAAAAAUAUGGAUUCUGAAAAAAACAUCAAAGAAAAUAAUUCACAACAUGAACAACGCAUGCCCGUGUACAUCCCCACUAGAGUUAAUAUGAAUAACGAUAAUAGUAAUACUAAUAACCUUAGCAGUUAUAGCAACACAAAUACAAACUCAAAUAAUCAAAAUACGUUUAAUGUAAAAGAUUUUGGUGUACAUACAUUGCUGGAAGAAAACACAGUUGACCUUACAAAAAAAAAAAAAUUUGACUUAAUAGAUUCUUUUAUGUUUAACAAUAAAGAAAAUGAACAGCAAUUCACAGACCAUUUAUCAGACUCGGGACUGUUAAAAAAGAGAAAAAUUUAAAGAGAACUAUGUAUGUUAUAUACAAUUUUUUUUUUUUUGUUUGCGUUUCUUGCGCUUCGUACGUCCAUACGUUCAUGCGUCCAUACGUUUUUUGUUUGUUUUAUCAUUUUUUGAAUCAAUUUAAUUUGUGUUAGUUUAUAUAUAACAUGUUACGUAUAACACAAAAAAAAAAANNNNNNNNNNNNNNNNNNNNNNNNNNNNNNNNNNNNNNNNNNNNNNNNNNNNNNNNNNNNNNNNNNNNNNNNNNNNNNNNNNNNNNNNNNNNNNNNNNNNAAAAAAAAAAAAAAAAAAAAAAAAAAUGAACGAGCAUAAAAUAGCGAACACAAAUUAACAAACAUGACAUGAGUGUUUAAUAUUUUUAUGCAUUUUUGUUUACCUCUGUUCUUUUGUAAUGCAUAAAAAAAGUUAUCGCUCGAAACAACUGAAAUGACAUGCGAACUAGUGUUAAACUUCUAUAAAUAACUUCUUCCAGUUCUUUGUUUUUCUUUUUAUAAUCAUUUUCAAAAAGUACUGUUAGAUCCCCACUACUUAGAAAUAGCAAAAGGCACAUUGUAGUGAUUGUUACGUCAAAUAGCCCAUCUAACUGAUAAAAAUAGUUGCUUCCCUGUAAUAAAUUAGAAAAAAAAAAUACA